rnacentral:rRNA from 1 species
CAUUUCCCGCAAGGGAGAUGAGUUCCUAGCGGCGAACGGGUGAGUAACACGUGGGCAACCUUUCCUAUCGCGGGGGAUAACAUCGGGAAACCGGUGCUAAUACCGCAUGUCGUCACUGGUCGCAUGGCUGGUGAAGAAAGCAGCAAUGCACGAUGGGGUGGGCCCGCGGCCUAUCAGCUAGUCGGUGGGGUAACGGCCUACCGAGGCGAUGACGGGUAGCUGGUCUGAGAGGACGACCAGCCACACGGGGACUGAGACACGGCCCCGACUCCUACGGGAGGCAGCAGUGAGGAAUCUUCCGCAAUGGGCGAAAGCCUGACGGAGCGACGCCGCGUGUGGGAUGAAGUCCUUCGGGAUGUAAACCACUGUUGGAGGGGAAGACUUCGACGGUACCCUCCGAGAAAGCCCCGGCUAACUACGUGCCAGCCGCCGCCGUAACAC